GCUCCCAUGGCGUAAAGUGGUCACUGCGCUCGCCUUGCACGCGGGAGACCCGGGUUCGAUUCCCGGCGAGGUCA
rnacentral:tRNA from 1 species